AUUGAACGCUGGCGGCAGGCUUAACACAUGCAAGUCGAGCGGGGUGAUGGUGCUUGCACUAUCACUUAGCGGCGGACGGGUGAGUAAUGCUUAGGAAUCUGCCUAUUAGUGGGGGACAACAUCUCGAAAGGGAUGCUAAUACCGCAUACGUCCUACGGGAGAAAGCAGGAGAUCACUUGUGACCUUGCGCUAAUAGAUGAGCCUAAGUCGGAUUAGCUAGUUGGUGGGGUAAAGGCCUACCAAGGCGACGAUCUGUAGCGGGUCUGAGAGGAUGAUCCGCCCCACUGGGACUGGGAACCGUCCCAGACACCUACGGGAGGCAGCAGUGGGGAAUAUUGGACAAUGGGGGGAACCCUGAUCCAGCCAUGCCGCGUGUGUGAAGAAGGCCUUAUGGUUGUAAAGCACUUUAAGCGAGGAGGAGGCUCUUUUGGUUAAUACCCAAGAUGAGUGGACGUUACUCGCAGAAUAAGCACCGGCUAACUCUGUGCCAGCAGCCGCGGUAA
rnacentral:rRNA from 1 species